rnacentral:rRNA from 1 species
GACGAACGCUGGCGGCGUGCUUAACACAUGCAAGUCGAACGCUGAAGCUCUGCUUUCGUUGGGUGGCUGAGUGGCGAACGGGUGAGUAACACGUGAGUAACCUGCCCCCUUCUUUGGGAUAACGCCCGGAAACGGGUGCUACUACUGGAUAUUCACUGGUCUUCGCAUGGGGGCUGGUGGAAAGGGUUUCUCUGGCGGGGGAUGGGCUCGCUGCCUAUCAGCUUGUUGGUGGGGUGAUGGCCUCACAAGGGUUUGACGGGUAGCCGGCAUGAGAGGGUGAACGGGCACAUUGGGACUGAGAUAAGGCCCAGACGACGACGGGAGGGAGCAGUGGGGAAUAUUGGACAAUGGGCGAAAGCGUGAUGCAGCGACGCUGCGUGAGGGAUGGAGGCCUUCGGGUUGUGAACCUCGUUAGCUCAUGGUCAAGCCGAAACAAUGGUUGUGGUGAGGGUAGUGGGUAAAGAAGCGCCGGCUAACUACGUG